CACAGCCACACUCCAAAAUUCAAUAUAAAUCGUAGGAUUAUUAUUUUGACAUGAAACCACCUCUGAGAUCUUCUAUACUCAGUACAUUAUCAUCCCUCAAAAUUUCAAUUCGAACUAAGGUGUUUAGCUAGGUGAAACAUUGCUCCAAAGUUCAGUGUUCAGUAAAUUCGUAGGUUAUUAACAACCCAUACUAAAACUGCCAUAACUCCUAGCUCGUUACUCCGAUUGAUGCAAAAUCAGCGCCCAAAUAAACUAGGAAUCAUACACUACUACUUUAGUUCAGUAGUCGAUCACCAAAUCAGAAUAAAACUGCUCCGAAAACAGGAUAGGAACUUAUAAUCACUGAAUUUAAAAGUUUAUACCUUCUGUUGUUGAUGUUGCAACCUCAACCCACCACACUUUCUUUCCUGUACACCUCCUGCCAUCCUUCCUUUUAUACUCUAAAACCCCAGCUGCCCUGUUUCUCGAAUACUCAAGGCUGAGCCCUCAAAAUAUCACCAUAGCCGUCCAACUGUCCCCCAACAUCUAUGUUUUCAUCCCCAAGUUCCUAAGCUAUACACACGCAACUCUCAUUGACUAACUAAUCAAUUCAGUCAUCACUUCACUCCUCCCAGCCUUGCUAUCACAACUCUGUUGUGACACCAACCGAACCACCUGCUGCAGCACACGGCCACAACCAGGCCACCACCUCGUCUGGCCAUAACCGAGACGCCUGGACCGCAGCCCACCGCCGCGUCAACCACAGGGCAUCUCCUGUAAUCAUUCUUGUCCAGCAACCCAAUAAAUCAGCCCCGUGUCAUAAACACCUACCAUGAAAUCAAUUUACAACCACGAAAUAACACCCACCUAAACACACCUACUGAUCACCACCCCUCAACCUCUGUCUCUCCUCUAGCCAGCCCUGUUCAAACCAACACAAUCGCCUCCAUCCUUCUUCCUCCCUCCCCACACGACGCCGCCGAUUUCUCCCGUGUCCACCGCCGACUCGCGGCCUCCGUUCAUACACCACCCACCAUCCACACCGAUCCAAUUGAUUUCCCCAAAUUCAGAAACCCUAAUCCCUCUUUAUUUCGCUUGAUCGAAGUCACCGCCUCUGUUUAUCUGUUCGUGUUUAUCUAUA
rnacentral:lncRNA from 1 species